AAUUCAUUUUAAAACGUAUAUAGAACAAGGUAUACGGAAAUAGUAUAUUUACAAAUAGAAUAGUAUCUCUCAAAUUGCAACAACAAAACUCAAUUUCAUCACCAAGACACCAAGCGCAAUAACGAAAGUCGACUCUCUGAAUCCAAAUUGUGUUCCUUCCUCUGUAAUUCGAAACCCCCAGAUCAAAUCUCACCCAAAAGUAAUUAAGAGACUCUGAUUUGAAAACAAAAAUAAGUAACGAUGUAGCUGUAAGGACUUUACUGGGGAGAAAGAGAGAGGGGGAGGGAAAAAGAAAGAGAGAGAAAGAGAGAGGGGGAGAGGGAGAAAGAGAGAGGAGAGAGAGAACGGAAGAGAGAGGUACACAGAAAGAGAGAUGAGAGAAAUAGAUAGAAAGGUGAAUUUGGAAUUAAUAUACAAAAUAUAGAGGAUAUCAGUUUUUUUUU
rnacentral:sRNA from 1 species